rnacentral:rRNA from 1 species
ACUCAAAGGAAUUGACGGGGGCCCGCACAAGCGGUGGAGCAUGUGGUUUAAUUCGAUGCAACGCGAAGAACCUUACCUAGGUUUGACAUCUACUGGAAGACUCUCAGAAAUGAGGUCGCCUUCGGGCCGGUAGACAGGUGCUGCAUGGCUGUCGUCAGCUCGUGUCGUGAGAUGUUGGGUUAAGUCCCGCAACGAGCGCAACCCUCGUGUUUAGUUGCCAGCAUUCAGUUGGGCACUCUAAACAGACUGCCGACGUUAAGUCGGAGGAAGGUGGGGAUGACGUCAAGUCCUCAUGGCCUUUAUAUCUAGGGCUACACACGUGCUACAAUGGUCGGUACAGAGGGAAGCCAAAUAGUAAUAUGGAGCCAAUCCCUUAAAGCCGAUCUAAGUUCAGAUUGAGGUCUGCAACUCGACCUCAUGAAGGUGGAAUCGCUAGUAAUCGCGGAUCAGAACGCCGCGGUGAAUACGUUCCCGGGCCUUGCACACACCGCCCGU